CUCCCGCGGGAGUUACUUGAACGCUCAGGCGGUAAUUCCAACUUGGGGGCUCAGCUGCGGGCUAACCCGAUCCUGAGGGGACUUUGUAGACUUGACGUUCCGUCGGGCCCCUGCACCCCGGAGCGGACGAGGCUUGUCCCGGCCAGGUCCCGCCGCCAUGGGGGCGGAGAAAGAGCCGCUGCCGGUUAAGGAGGCCUUCCAGCGGACGCAGCGGCCGCACCAGAACAAGAUCACCGGCGCUGAGCCGCGCCUACCGCACGGAUUGAGGCAUAUAGCAAUGAAGUUCAGUGUUUGUUGUGCCAGAUUCUAAAUAAGUUCUUGGGAAAUAUGCUGGGAAAAGGCCAGAUUGAUAAUAUUUUGUGCAUAAAAUGGAUGAAGCUCUUCUUAUUAGACUAAAAGUUAAAAAUCCAAAUGUGAGGAUACAGGUAGACGCGGCUCUUUAAAGACUUAAGACCUAUGGGUAAUGAUUGCCCCAAGGUUAAAGGGAGAGAGAGAGAGCACACACAAGCAAGGGGAACUG